rnacentral:rRNA from 1 species
CACGUAGGGCGCAAGCGUUGUCCGGAAUUAUUGGGCGUAAAGAGCUCGUAGGUGGUUUGCUGCGUCCGCUGUGAAAACCCAAGGCUUAACCUUGGGCUUGCAGUGGAUACGGGCAGACUAGAGGUAGGUAGGGGAGACUGGAAUUCCUGGUGUAGCGGUGAAAUGCGCAGAUAUCAGGAGGAACACCGGUGGCGAAGGCGGGUCUCUGGGCCUGUACUGACGCUGAGGAGCGAAAGCGUGGGGAGCGAACAGG